rnacentral:rRNA from 1 species
UGAGGAAUAUUGGUCAAUGGGCGGGAGCCUGGACCAGCCAAGCCGCGUGAGGGAUGAAGGCCCUAUGGGUCGUAAACCUCUUUUGUCAGGGAACAAAAGCGAGUAUGUAUACUAGUCUGAGUGUACCUGAAGAAAAAGCAUCGGCUAACUCCGUGCCAGCAGCCGCGGUAAUACGGAGGAUGCGAGCGUUAUCCGGAUUUAUUGGGUUUAAAGGGUGCGUAGGCGGCGAUGCAAGUCAGCGGUAAAAGCCCGGGGCUCAACCCCGGCGAGCCGUUGAAACUGCAGUGCUAGAGAAGGCGAGAGGUACGCGGAAUGCGCAGUGUAGCGGUGAAAUGCUUAGAUAUUGCGCAGAACUCCGAUUGCGAAGGCAGCGUACUGGCGCCUGACUGACGCUGAGGCACGAAAGCGUGGGGAUCGAACAGGAUUAGAUACC